GUGCUCGCUUUGGCAGUACAUAUACUAAAACUGGAAAGAUACAGAGAAGAGUAGCAUGGCCCCUGCGCAAGGAUAUCACGCAAAUUCAUGAAGCGUUCCAUAUUUUU
rnacentral:snRNA from 1 species